rnacentral:tRNA from 1 species
GUCUCUGUAGCUCAAUAGGUAGAGCGUUGGACUUCUAAUCCAAAGGUCGUGGUUUCGAAUACUACCUGGGGUG